UGGGCUUGACAUGCAGGUGGUAAGAACCCGAAAGGGAGAUGACCCGUGGCAACACGGGAGCCUGCAC
rnacentral:rRNA from 1 species